CAACAAAACACUGACCUUGGUCCACAGACAACACCCACGUCCACGUGGUGGGUGGGACUGGCUCCGUCAGAGGAUGGGAAGAUGAGAAGUGCUUGUCGCAGGCCUGGAGAUGGGGACCACCCAGGCAUGCAGGGGAUGCUGCCUCUCCUCCAUCCAACAACAAGCCUGCGUGUGCCCAGCCCCCUCUGGUACACGCAUUGCUCCCCAUCCUCGGCAUUGAUCAAUUGAAAAUAAGACCUUGGAAGAACCCCUUGCAAAGCUGACAUUGUACGAGCCAAGGCAGCGGGGCUGGAGACACACUCCUGAGAGGGAGAUGGGAGAGAGGGCGCCUCGCGGAUCCCGAGGAAGGCUGAAGACAGGAGAAGGGAGGGGUCGCACACGUUAAACGCUGCCGAAAGGCCAGGAGAGAUUAAGACAGAAAUGAAUCACUGGAUUCGGCCAGGCUGCGGUUAUUGACAACAGUGGGAAGAGCAACCUGGCCGUGGGGUCAGCUGCACAGGCCAGGAGCUCGAGGGUGGUGGCUGGCAGAAAGUGCAGUCCAAAGUACUCUGUUUUGUUUUGAUUGUGUUUUAAAAUGGGACAAAUAACAGCAUGUGUGUUUGCUGAUGGGGAGAAUCCAGGAGAAAAACAGUGAAGUUGAGGUGAGCCUCACAGGGUCAGGGGGAAGACAGGGGAUCCCGAAGAUAACGUCUGCUACGAACUCAAUUGCAUCCGCCCCGGGCCCUAAGUUGAAGCCCUAAUCCCCACGUUGACUGCAUUUGGAGAAGGACCUUCAGCACAUGAUGGAGGGACCGAGAUGCCCAAAUCCUGGCCCUCCUGCUGGACUUUCAUUUUAAAGAACAAUAAAAUUAAUGUUAACUUCUAGCAGCUUCCAAGCUCUGUGGCCCCGGAGAGGGUCAGCGAGGGGCCUCCACUGUCUGAGUCCGCUCCUGGCAACGCCUGCUCUCUGCACUCAGAGGCCCGGUCCCGGCAGCUGCCACGUUGCUCAGAAGUUCUGGCAGGGGGAGCCUGAAACCCCUGUCUGCUGGCGACACUCCCGGAGCAGCAGGAAAUCUCUACAUUUUAUUUUUUUUCUUAACAGACAAAAGUAUUUGACUCCAGAAUGAUUUCCAGGAAUUACAGUAUGAGAACUUAGUCUUUGAGAUUUUUAUUUUCUUCUUAAAAAAAUAAAAAUGAAAUCAAAGCAGAAGACACUGGUUGAGCAGACAGCACACUAGCACAUUCCACUUCGCAACAAAACCUGCG
rnacentral:lncRNA from 10 species